UAUUAAUAGCGACGACUUGUGUGACUCACUGUUUAUUUAUUCGUAAUGUUGUGAUGAAUUAUACAUGAUUUUUUUCAAGACUAGUGUUGGCACACAAUAUGCAAUUUUUUUGUAACUGAAAUCAAAAUGUUAUUCAAUAUAGAAUAUGCUUAGUUUU